CUAACGAAAUUUUCUUAUUUCACAGUUCUUUAACCUUGCGAGCUAAGAUACGGAUCCUGCCUUCGUAGCUACAUCCUAACCGACAGCUUGUGUGAGUAGACCCGUGAGUAGCUCGAAAGCGAGCAGCAUGUGAUAUGUGCUAUGAGGUAGCAUUGGCUACAUAUGAGGCACUUAGGUGUGAGAUUCCGAUGUAUCCGAUGGUAUUCCAAGUGUUCAACUGGUAAAUUAUCGAGUAACUUGACGGAGAACCUGAGGGGGAAGUCAAUGAGAAGAAUAAAUAUAUGGUUAUGUUAUGAGAUAGUACAGGUUUAUUCAGCUAGCUCGGGGUAGAGAUCGUUAGAGAUCCUAUCACACUAUCAAUCUAUCAUGUUGGGUAAAUGAACGCAAACCUUUUAGUCUAUGACAUGUAUAGGGACUUAGUCAUUUUGUGUAUGUGUCAUUAUGAUAUGGCCAAAUGUAUUGGCUUGUAAUGAAUAAGGAUUUGAUUUGGUAUGUAGCCAUAUAAAUUGACUUAUAUUGGCUAA